AGCCCCCGAGUUAACCGUGCCAACUCCAUCAGCUGCCAUGCCGCCCACUGCUGAUCAGGCGGUUCUGGGGCUGCCUGCUGGAGUGGCAAAGGAGGUGUCACUAGUUCUUGCUACUGGCACCUUGCUGUCAAAUGUGAUCGCCAGCGGUAAGCGUUCUCCUUGUUAAAUGUAGUCUUUUGAGUAGUGUUGUAGUCUUGACUUCGAUUUUGUAGGUCUUGGUGAGAAGACGGCGCCGGCGGCCAUUCCCGCGGCUCCGGGUACUCGGCCGCCUAUUGCCGAGAGGAAACGUGUGCGACUGCCGCCACGUUCAACCCGGUGAGCUCCCUUGUCCUUUUGAACGAUGUUGCAUUGUCUGGAAAUCAUGUAGUAACACUUUGGCGGUG
rnacentral:lncRNA from 1 species